UUGGUACUGAAAGUGGCCCAAACUACUUCCUACACUGCAGCGAAAAUAAGUACGCCCUUGCAAUAUUACAUAACAUCAAAAUAUCGUUUUUACUUAUUUUUGUUGUAUCAUUCAUUUUUAAGUUUAAAUUCAGAUUAAUGAUAAUUUAUAUCAAUUAUUAGUGAUAAGAGAAGAAUAAUUUAUAUAUCAAUUAUUAGUGAUAAGAGAAGAAGGAAGAAUGAUGUAUGUUUUUAGCGUGUGGUUUGAUCAUGCAUUCGGCAUAGCGUGAGGCAGGGAAAGAGAGUGAAGGAAUUUGUUUUAGAAUGGUUGAUAAUUUUGAAAAUGAUUUUGAAUUGAAUUGGAACGAAUUUUGUUUGCGUCAGAUAUGUUGUUACUACUGUACCUGGCAUACAUGUAAUAGUUAAAUUAUAUUCGAGUGUGUUUGCAUAUAUGGUGGUUAAAUAAUGAUAAAGACGUUUAAGAUUUGUAUGGCGAAUUAAGCGAGAGUGCUGAAAAAGGUAUGAAUAGUAAUGUGAGAGUAUCAAUUUCGAAGAGAGAGAGAGAGAGAGAGAGAGAGAGUGAGUGAAUUGAUAAAAAAGAAUACGAACGAAAUAACAAGCGUUUUAAUUACGGAAAUUAAUAGUCAAAUAAUUGUGAAUCUAAGAAUAAAUAGACCGUCAGAAUGUGGGGUCAUUUUGUAAUAUAAUGGUGUUGAAUUGGCUGGAUGAUAUGCUAAGAUGUAAUGAUGUAAUAGAUAAUAGACCUGUUUGUUGAAUGAGUGUUGUAUACAGAUGUUGGAGAUGAGAUGAGAUGGUGGUGACUCUAUUGUGAUGUUAGGAAGCUUUUCCAAGCCCUUUUAAUUUGCUAAGUAUACACGAUUCUAUAUAUUUUAUUGCUGCAUACGUGUUCGUUUCCAUAGUAUGAGUGUAUUGUGUGUGCAUUAAGUUUCCAAAGACGUUCAUUUAACAACAUUGUAAGAUUACUCUGAAUUAAAUAAUUGAUUAGAUCAAUGCAAAUAUAGAAGAAAAGAAUCUGAUAUUAAUCAAAGGUCUCUAUAAAAAUAAUUUUCAUUUUUCGUUUUAAAUUUUUGGUGUUGGGUAAUCAAUCGUUUAGUUCUUUUGCAAAUUGACUACUCGUUAUUUUUCCUUUUAUGUAAAUGUGCUCUUAUACACACGUCAACAGUUCUAUAUUUCUAUAUAUAUAUGCAUAUAUAAGAAAAUGCCAUUAACCAAGUUUAUUUAGCAUGCAAUAAUAGCACGUACAUCAUAAUAUGCAUACCCAAUUUGCGAUAAAAAGAUCAAAGCAAACAGCAUACAGCAUAUAGUUAGCAUAAUACACCAGUUUUCCUCAGUGUAAAAAUUCGUAUUAUUCGGCUUUGAUGGUUUUUUUUAACUACAUUUUCCAAUUAGUUUUUCUUCUUGUAUUCAAUUUAUUUUCACAUCUACUAUAUAUAUAUAUAUACUUCAAAUUCAAAAAUUCGACAAUAUCGGCAAAAUCAUCACUACCCGAAAACGUAUAGUAUACUAGAUAUGAAUGAAUGCCUAAUGAAUAUUGUGAUACUCUUUUGUUAUGGGUAAGAGCAAUAUAAAAUAUCGAAAGCUUAUUUUAUUAUGUAUGUUUUUUGUUUGACAUGUACAUAUAAAGACUUUUUUCUUUGAUACCUAUAUACAGUAUACAUUCUAAAUUAAUAAUCAAUCAGUUGUUUGAAUUACAUUUAUUUUGCAAUAUAAACUGUUCUACACUAAAGCAGGUCAGAUUGUGUUCGUAAUUCAUUUGUAAUUAAUAUUUUGUUAUAUAUUUUCAUGAUUGAAAAGUUCUUGACUUCUAACCUUUUUUCGCCUUCAUCCGCCCACACCCCCCCUACUACGAUCAUCUUUGUGAUUUUCGCAAAUAUAAAAUUUCGAAUUUCGAUUUUUGAUUUCCCCAACUGUUUAAUGCAUUAAACUUUACUUCAAGGGUGAGGUUUUCCCCCAUUGUUUCAAAUAAAAUAAAAAUUACUUGGUAUUUACGCAAAGUACCACAACUAAACCUCACCCGCCAAAUAUAUUAAAAGAGAGAUAUAAUUUUUGCUUUAAACUACGUUUGGAUGCUGGAAACCUUUGGAACUGAAUUUGAAUUGCGUUUGAAACAAACACCAAAGAAGGAUUGCAUGGUGGAGGCAACAAUUUGGAAUUUCGCACUUUUAUUUGAGCGAUAUUCUUGAAGAAUUAUUGACGAAUCAUUAUAUAAAACACUUGUUUGGCUUUUGCUCUGAGGCGUCUUUUCAAAACUUCUCCGCAUCGUCGUAGUUCCUGCUUCAUUAUAACUAAACGAGCAAACACGCCGAUUCCACGAAUCACUACCACAUCAGAUGACACCUACGAAGUAAUUUGACAAAUUAAUAUAUUCACAAUGGAAGUAAAUUUCUGCAUUAGUUAAAUUCUAAAUCGUACUAAAGCUAGUGAAAAUAUAAUGGAGAAAGUUCUGAAAAAUGUCGAAGACGCGAAGAGUAGUGUGUUCGAAAUUAUGAACUGCUUUUGUCCAGUGCACCUACGCUAAAAUAGCGUACGUCUACAAC